UUUCAGCAGUGCACCAUGCCUUGGUGAGAAGUGGAAGCAGACCUUUAGAGAUGCAUCCUGGACACUCCUUUUGCCCCCCUUGGUGAAAGAAGGAUGGGAUGCUGCCAGGACAGCCACAGUUUCUGCAACACAAAGCUGAAAUUACAAGAUUGUUGUCGUAAGAAAGCAGAAACAGUGUAUGGCACUCCGUGCCCUGCAGUGCUGCCGUUCUUCCGUUGUUUUUACAAACAUUGCUACCUUUCUAGGCAGCCAGGGCUGCUAAUUUCUUCUCAUUACAACUAUAUGAAAAAGAAGUGAGAGAUACCUCUAGUACACCAAUAUUAAUAUGGUGAAUAAUUAAGCCAUCAAGAAAACUGUAUAUGUUUUCAAAGAAGCCAAGCACCUGCACACGGACAAUUUCUGUCUUAUAGCUGUGUUUGAGAAUAGUGAGAAUGGGGAAAAAAAGCCUUUGCUGUAUCUCCUUCAAGACAGACAGGAGUGUGUUUAUUUUCACCAAAUAUCCAUACACAUAUGACACUCUCUCAGAAAUGGACAGUUGCUGGAAGAGUAACACCUUUUUAUUCCUUAUGAUAUAUGUCCCGCACGUGCAUCUCCUGUAUGUGUGCAAAUACAGGAGGAAGGAAGUCCUGGAAGACUUGGGAGCUCUCAGUGGGAAACCAAGGCAAAGGGCACAGUUCUCAUACAAAUGGGCAAAGGCAUCUGGGCCUCAUUGAAGUCUUGCAAAUAAUUAAGAAUAUUAGACCUCUGGUUACUGAUCAUCUUGCAGAAGUAUGUAUUUCAUCUAUCUGUCCUGGAUUUCUUUUUGCUUCUACCCCAUAUUGUGAGACAGGAUAUUACAAUAAGUUCUUCAUAUUUCUUUGUCAGUGUAACAACAUUCUCCAGGCAAAAUGUGUCACACUUUUCUCCAUCGGAUUGUUAUUUCUCUAGAGCCAUAAAAGUUGGCAUACCAUAAGUGCCAGUGGUGCUUAAAAGCCUGUCUUGAUGGGGAAAUGGAUUGCAAAAAUAGUAUUUCCUUACUUUUGUAAUGAAAAAAAAAGGAACAGUUUUGUAAAAUAGCUGUUCAGUGAAAUACACAAAAAUGCCAUUAGUAUGAAGGAUAAAAGUUCUCCUGCAAUGCAGGAAGAGACCCUUUUUCGUUGUGCUUUUAUUAUUUGUAAUUAAUGUGCUCACCUCAGAUUUCUGCCAACAGCCCAGCGCAAAAUGAAUCUCUGUGCAUUCUCUCUUUGUUUCUCCUUGUUCUAUCAUGCUGUGUACCAUUAUGAGAAUGUAAGGGAAUAUAUGUAUAUAUAUAUAUGGCAGGAUCUCUAAUCACAUAUUUUUUGCUAAUUUUAGUUCAAAUACAGAGUUAGUGACAAUGUCAAUACAAACACAGUCUGUUUCAAGGUGUGUAUACCCGUGUAACAAAAACAGUCAGGAAAGGACUUAGGGAGCACGGGACAGAGGUGUGCAGCAGAACGCACCUCUUCUGUGCCAUAUCCAAAUACGGUACCUAAUUUUCAAUAGAAAAGGCAAAAACAUGGAAACAUGGCCCCAGUGUCCGCAAAGUGGACACUGCACAAACAGCAGAAAAUGCUUAUUUUUCAUCUAAUGAAGUGACUAGUCAAAUUCUGCUUACUGUAUCCUGUGCGUAGCAUAGUUGCUUAUGCGUAUCAGUAUAGAAUUUAUAUUCCUCUAUCUGCACCAGCCGAAAACAC
ensembl:lncRNA